rnacentral:rRNA from 1 species
AUUGAACGCUGGCGGCAUGCCUUUCACAUGCAAGUCGAACGGUAACAGGUCUUCGGAUGCUGACGAGUGGCGAACGGGUGAGUAAUACAUCGGAACGUGCCUAGUAGUGGGGGAUAACUACUCGAAAGAGUGGCUAAUACCGCAUGAGAUCUACGGAUGAAAGCAGGGGAUCGCAAGACCUUGUGCUACUAGAGCGGCCGAUGGCAGAUGUAGGUAGUUGGUGGGAUAAAAGCUUACCAAGCCGACGAUCUGUAGCUGGUCUGAGAGGACGAUCAGCCUGACGGGGACUGAGACGAGGCCAAGACUGCUACGGGAGGCAGCAGUGGGGAAUUUGUGACAAUGGGCGAAAGCCGGAUCCAGUAAGGCGGGGUGCAGGAUUAAGGCCCUCGGGUUGUAAACUGCUUUUGUACAGACCGAAAAGGUUUCUACUAAUACUAGGAGCUCAUGACGGUACUGUAAGAAUAAGCACCGGCUAACUACGUGCCAGCCGCCGCCGUAA